rnacentral:rRNA from 1 species
GAUGAACGCUGGCGGCGUGCCUAAUACAUGCAAGUCGAGCGAAUGGAUUAAGAGCUUGCUCUUAUGAAGUUAGCGGCGGACGGGUGAGUAACACGUGGGUAACCUGCCCAUAAGACUGGGAUAACUCCGGGAAACCGGGGCUAAUACCGGAUAACAUUUUGAACCGCAUGGUUCGAAAUUGAAAGGCGGCUUCGGAUGUCACUUAUGGAUGGACCCGCGUAGCAUUAGCUAGUUGGUGAGGUAACGGCUCACCAAGGCAACGAUGCGUAGCCGACCUGAGAGGGUGAUCGGCCACACUGGGACUGAGACACGGCCCAGAAUCCUACGGGAGGCAGCAGUAGGGAAUCUUCCGCAAUGGACGAAAGUCUGACGGAGCAACGCCGCGUGAGUGAUGAAAGCUUUCGGGUCGUAAAACUCUGUUGUUAGGGAAGAACAAGUGCUAGUUGAAUAAGCUGGCACCUUGACGGUACCUAACCAGAAAGCCACGGCUAACUACGUGCCAGCCGCCGCGGUAA